rnacentral:rRNA from 1 species
GACGAACGCUGGCGGCGUGCCUAAUACAUGCAAGUCGAACGCAUUUUCUUUCACCGUAGCUUGCUACACCGAAAGAAAAUGAGUGGCGAACGGGUGAGUAACACGUGGGUAACCUGCCCAUCAGCGGGGGAUAACACUUGGAAACAGGUGCUAAUACCGCAUAAUUCCAUUUACCGCAUGGUAGAUGGAUGAAAGGCGCUUUUGCGUCACUGAUGGAUGGACCCGCGGUGCAUUAGCUAGUUGGUGGGGUAACGGCCUACCAAGGCUGCGAUGCAUAGCCGACCUGAGAGGGUGAUCGGCUACACUGGGACUGAGACACGGCCCAGACUCCUACGGGAGGCAGCAGUAGGGAAUCUUCGGCAAUGGACGCAAGUCUGACCGAGCAACGCCGCGUGAGUGAAGAAGGUUUUCGGAUCGUAAAACUCUGUUGUUAGAGAAGAACAAGGAUGAGAGUGGAAAGUUCAUCCCUUGACGGUAUCUAACCAGAAAGCCACGGCUAACUACGUG